UACGUAGGUGGCAAGCGAUACUCGGAAUCACUAGGCGUAAAGCGCAGGUAGGCGGUUUGGUAAGUCUUUUGUGAAAGCUCCCGGCUUAACUGGGAGAGGUCAAGGGAAACUACCGGACUAGAGUGUGGUAGGGGAUACUGGAAUUCCUGGUGUAGCGGUGAAAUGCGCAGAUAUCAGGAGGAAUACCUAUGGCGAAAGCAGGUAUCUGGGCCAUCACUGACGCUGAGCUGCGAAAGCUAGGGGAGCAAACAGG
rnacentral:rRNA from 1 species